GGAAGAUUGUCGACCUUUUUAAGGUUGACGUGGAGCCUUUUCUUUAUGUCACCAAUGCCAAAUUUCCACUUUUGGGAUGAUUUUUAAUUUUCUUCGGGAGCCUUUGAUUACGCCACCAAUGCCAAAUUUUCCCUUUUGGAAUGAUUUUCAUUUUAUUCGGGAAGUAGUUAUAUUAUGAUUUCAUUGAAUUGGUCCAAGCAUUGUUACCAUUAUCUCCCACAGGCAACUCAUGAGGAGCGUAUAAAGAAGAAUUAUUUAUCUCCAUGUAGGCUAGUGUGAGCUGGUUAUAUGUAGCAGUUUAAUGGGGUUUCUGGUUCAACUAUCAGCUUGGUUGGAGGACUGUUUGUGGUUGCAAGAUCUAUGGUAGUUAUCUUCUUUGUUGUGCAAGAUGUCCUGUGUGAGAGGGGGGCACAAUAUUCCAUUUGGUAGGGCAAGCUCAAAUCUUCAAAUUCAGAGUUUAUGUCGCUAAUGUUCAUCAAGGGAACUUUAGGUGCCCAACAUGAGUCAAACUGGUGCUUUGUGCACAAGAGAAUAAAUCGUUGUUGACAUUACAGUAAAAGUGGAGGCCAGUAUUGUAUGCCUGGAGUUUGUAUGCUAGGGCUUCUCCUGACUCUCCAUCAAUGUCGACUAAUAACCGCUUGUAGGAUAUGGCUUACCUUGAGAGAGGCAGAAGAGUCUUCCCUCAAGACUCAGGAGUCUGAACCCUAGAUUUGAAGACUUGGAGUAGGACUCAGCCAAGUACUCUCCAAGACUUGGCCAGACUUGGCGCAGGAGUCUGGUCGACAACUUGGCUAGCUCAGGGAAUCGGGAUUUUGCAGAGUACUUGGAGAGUCUUCAAACUACGAUAUGGAUUACACUAUAAUGUUUCUUAUUCAAUCUUUCAAGCCUCUUUCGAGACCCCUCUUUAUGGAAAUUACAGGAUCAGUAAUGUGAUCUUUCUUGUGUUUAGUUACUUACAAUAACAUAAUGUGUUUCUACAAUAUUACUACUCUUUUAUAAUUGGUUGUGAUUUAUGAGUCC